rnacentral:lncRNA from 1 species
GGAGAAGCAGAAAUGCAAACAACCAACUCUGACCUGUGGGUCCGCAGUGUUUGGGAACCCCAGCCCUGGUCCUGGCCACCUGCUGCCUUUUUGCAACUUCAUCCUUCUCUCUGGCAACACUUUAUUUAAAAUGCACUUCAAAAAGCAACAGCCUCCCGGACUCACACUCCUUGACUUCAACAGCUCACAGGCUGCAACACAUCAUCCCGGAGUUACUAGCCAUCAUUUGUCAUUUUUAACUACAGCACAGUGGCCUAACCCUGGCAGAAGACUGCUUUG